GACGUAGGGUGCAAGCGUUAUUCGGAAUUACUGGGCGUAAAGCGUGCGCAGGCGGCUAGGCAAGACAGAUGUGAAAUCCCCGGGCUCAACCUGGGAACUGCAUUUGUGACUGCAUGGCUAGAGUACGGUAGAGGGGGAUGGAAUUCCGCGUGUAGCAGUGAAAUGCGUAGAUAUGCGGAGGAACACCGAUGGCGAAGGCAAUCCCCUGGACCUGUACUGACGCUCAUGCACGAAAGCGUGGGGAGCAAACAGG
rnacentral:rRNA from 1 species